rnacentral:rRNA from 1 species
GGAAAGAAAGCAAACGCGAUUCCCUAGUAGUGGCGAGCGAACGGGACCAGCCCAAACCCAUGCAUGUAAGUGUGUGGGGGUGUAGGGCCAGAGUCAUGGGAUUUGUGACGAUUAGACGACCGCUUGGGACGGCGGGCCACAGUGGGUGACAGCCCCGUAGUCGAAAAUCGAAGCAACCCUAUCUGGUACCUGAGUACCGCAGGACACGAGCAAUCCGGCGGGGAAUCUGGAGGGACCACCCUCCAAGGCUAAAUACUCCUCACUGACCGAUAGUGAACAAGUACCGCGAGGGAAAAGGCGAAAAGAACCCCGGCGAGGGGGAGUGAAAUAGAACCUGAAACCGUACGUCUACAAGCAGUGAAAGCACCGCGCCGCAAGGCCGUGCGAUCACGUACCUUUUUGCAUAAUGGGCCUGCGAGUUACCGUACGUGGCAAGGUUAAGCCGUCAGGUGGAGCCGGAG